AGCGAACGCUGGCGGCAGGCUUAACACAUGCAAGUCGAGCGGGCGUAGCAAUACGUCAGCGGCAGACGGGUGAGUAACACGUGGGAACGUACCUUUUGGUUCGGAACAACACAGGGAAACUUGUGCUAAUACCGAAUAAGCCCUUACGGGGAAAGAUUUAUCGCCGAAAGAUCGGCCCGCGUCUGAUUAGCUUGUUGGUGAGGCAACGGCUCACCAAGGCGACGAUCAGUAGCUGGCUGAGAGGAUGAUCAGCCACACUGGGACUGAGACACGGCCCAGACUCCUACGGGAGGCAGCAGGUGGGGAAUAUUGGACAAGUGGGGGCAACCCUGAUCCAGCCAUGCCGCGUGGGUGAUGAAGGCCCUAGGGUUGUAAAGCUCUUUUGUGCGGGAAGAUAAUGACGGUACCG
rnacentral:rRNA from 1 species